rnacentral:rRNA from 1 species
AACGAACGCUGGCGGCAUGCCUAACACAUGCAAGUCGAACGAGACCUUCGGGUCUAGUGGCGCACGGGUGCGUAACGCGUGGGAACCUGCCCUUAGGUUCGGAAUAACUCCCCGAAAGGGGUGCUAAUACCGGAUAAUGUCUUCGGACCAAAGAUUUAUCGCCUUUGGAUGGGCCCGCGUUGGAUUAGCUAGUUGGUAGGGUAAAAGCCUACCAAGGCGACGAUCCAUAGCUGGUCUGAGAGGAUGAUCAGCCACACUGGGACGGAGACACGGCCCAGACUCCUACGGGAGGCAGCAGUGGGGAAUAUUGGACAAUGGGCGAAGGCCUGAUCCAGCAAUGCCGCGUGAGUGAUGAAGGCCUUAGGGUUGUAAAGCUCUUUUACCCGGGAUGAUAAUGACAGUACCGGGAGAAUAAGCUCCGGCUAACUCCGUG